rnacentral:lncRNA from 10 species
CUCACCUCCAGGUACAUAUCUCUGCCUGGACUUGUGUAAGUAUCUUUGAUUUAACCCACCCAAAUCCAAGCUCCUGAUCUUCUCUCCAGCAUCUUCCCCCCCUGCAAUGUUCCAGAUCUAGGAAACUAGGACUCCAUUCUUCUACUGUGCAGGACAAAAACUCUGAAGUCAUCCAUGCCCCCUCUCUCCUCUCACAGCCCACAUCUGAUCCAUCUACACAUCUCUCGACCCUGCUUUCAGAAUCUGACUGCUUCAUACACUCCACUGAUGCUGCCCCGUCGGAGUCACCUUCACCUGAUAUUGCAAUGACCUUCUAACUGGCUUCCCCGCCUUUGUUCCUCUCCCACCCUCACUUCCGUCUAUUCUGACCAGCUGUCAGCCUAUUAACACAGAAGUUCAGAUCACCUCUGUCCUCUGCCUAAAAUCUCUCAGUGACUUCCAACCAAGUCCCUGUGAGGGCUGACAAAGCCCAGUGCGAUCUGGUCCCUAUGCUCUCAAUGCCUGGUCCUGUCCUAUUCUGCUCCUCUUCCCACUGCCCCCUGCAGCCUCGGGGGCCUCUCUGCUGUGCCUGGAACACACCAGACACACUCCUGCCCGGGGGCCUUAGCAUCCCCUGGAACACACCAGACACACUCCUGCCCGGGGGCCUUAGCAUCCCCCAUCCCCUGGAACACACCAGGCACACUCCUGCCCGGGGGCCUUAGCAUCCCCUGGAACACACCAGGCACACUCCUGCCCGGGGGCCUCAGCAUCCCCUGAACGCUUUGCUUGGAAUGCCCUUUUCCCAGAUGUCUGCAGAGCUCACCCCCUCAUCUUCUUUGAGCUUUACUCAAAUGUCCCUUCCCUGAGGCCUUCCCGGUACACCCUGAAAUGCCCUUGUCACCCUGCCCUGCUUCAUUUUUCUCCUUAGAGCUUCUCAUCAUCUAAUGGACAACAGCUUCCUGCCUGGUAAUCUUGUUUCACGGCCUCCUCUGCCUUCCAGAAUGUAAGCUUAGCAUCUGUUU